CAUAUGGUCUUGUCGAUCAGUCGAUCAAUCCAUUCCAUUUCUAGAGAGAAAAACUAGAGAGAGAGAGAGAGAGACAGAGAGAGCAGAAGCGGAGAACAAUGGGGAAGGAUCUGAGCGACGAGCAAGUGUCUUCCAUGAAAGAGGCGUUCACGCUCUUCGACACCGACGGCGAUGGCAAGAUCGCGCCGUCGGAGCUCGGCAUUUUGAUGCGAUCUCUCGGCGGCAACCCUACCCAAGCGCAACUCAAGGCCAUCGUCGCCGAGGAGAACCUGAACUCGCCGUUCGAUUUCCCUCGGUUCCUGGAGCUUAUGUCCAAACACCUCAAGCCGGAGCCCUUCGAUCGACAACUUCGCGACGCGUUCAAGGUGCUCGACAAGGAGGGCACCGGCUUCGUUGUAGUUUCGGAUCUCAGGCACAUCCUCACCAGCAUCGGCGAGAAGCUCGAGCCUUCCGAGUUCGACGAGUGGAUCCGCGAGGUCGAUGUCGGAUCCGAUGGCAAGAUCCGCUAUGAGGACUUCAUUGCCCGCAUGGUUGCCAAGUGACGCGCAGAUUCAUCCUAUUUCAACUUUAGGGAAAGCAUGGUUGACCUGUGGCAAUGGGCAUCUGGCUUACUACUCUUCACAGAACUUUCAAUGUGUAAUUUGGAAGCAGACUCCACUUGGAGGGACGAGGGCAUAUUUUGCUUGUGUGUGCAGUAGUAGUAUUUCAUCUGGCACACUUCCAAAUUGCAUCUUGGUUUGCCAUCAUCUUCUUUAGUUUUUCUUUUUUUUUUUUUAAAGUUUAGAUCUUUGACUAUGAGUGGUGUCAAUUUAAGAUUGGGGCUGCUGCUGUUAGUGUUUGGAAGGGAUUUUUGGUGUUAUUGUCUUGUGGCAGUUUCUUUUUUCCCAGCAAUUAUUUGUCCUCUGGCACUUUCGAAAUCAUCAUCCUUCAUUCAAAGUACUUGAAUACCCGUUUGAGCUUU